rnacentral:rRNA from 1 species
UACGGGGGGGGCAAGCGUUGUUCGGAAUUACUGGGCGUAAAGGGCUCGUAGGCGGCCAACUAAGUCAGACGUGAAAUCCCUAGGCUCAACCUAGGAACUGCGUCUGAUACUGGAUGGCUUGAAUCCGGGAGAGGGAUGCAGAAUUCCUGGUGUAGCGGUGAAAUGCGCAGAUAUCAGGAGGAACACCGAUGGCGAAGGCAGGUCUCUGGGCCACUACUGACGCUGAGAAGCGAAAGCAUGGGGAGCGAACAGG